ACCCUACUAGGUACUAAGACUCCACUGUCAAUCCGUCUGUCCGUCUGUCUAUCAGUAGGCUGUAUCUCGUGAAGUGACGUAGAAGUAAG